rnacentral:rRNA from 1 species
GAUGAACGCUGGCGGCGUGCCUAAUACAUGCAAGUCGAGCGAACAGACGAGGAGCUUGCUCCUCUUACGUUAGCGGCGGACGGGUGAGUAACACGUGGAUAACCUACCUAUAAGACUGAGAUAACUUCGGGAAACCGGAGCUAAUACCGGAUAAUAUAUUGAACCGCAUGGUUCAAUAGUGAAAGACGGUUUUGCUGUCACUUAUAGAUGGAUCCGCGCCGCAUUAGCUAGUUGGUAAGGUAACGGCUUACCAAGGCAACGAUGCGUAGCCGACCUGAGAGGGUGAUCGGCCACACUGGAACUGAGACACGGUCCAGACUCCUACGGGAGGCAGCAGUAGGGAAUCUUCCGCAAUGGGCGAAAGCCUGACGGAGCAACGCCGCGUGAGUGAUGAAGGUCUUCGGAUCGUAAAACUCUGUUAGUAGGGAAGAACAAAUGUGUAAGUAACUAUGCACGUCUUGACGGUACCUAAUCAGAAAGCAACGGCUAACUACGUG